AUGCGCAUUCUGGAGUCGCAGUGGUUGAUGGCGUCGACGAUGGCGGCGUGGUCGGCUCGCUCCACGUCCGUCCCGUUGAUGGACAGGAUGACGUCACCCUCUCGCAUGCCGGCUGCUGCUGCUGGCCCAUCGCCCUCGACGUGGUCCACGCGGGAGGGUGGUGCUGCACAACAAAUGCUGAAAAUACAUCUAUAAGCGGAUAAACUAAAAAUCUAUGUAUUGUAUAUAUCCGAUAUGGGAGUGUUAUCUUUGGAGAAAGACACAGUUUUGGACCAGCGGUCCUAUCAGUGUGAUGCUGGGCCGCUCUGGAGUGCACCGACCUGCCUGAGGCGCGGUACCGACCGGGAUCAUAUACUCACACUCGGUACACAAUAUCGAUACCAUAGUACCAUAGCGCAGUAGACACCGUACUACACAGAUCAUGGGUUUCAAUAAAAUUAUGGUCACCUCCGGUGUCAUCACGCUGCUUCAAGCCGUGGGGCAGUUGGUCUUCUCAUCAAUGUGCAUAGCGCAAUAUUUUUGCGUAAUCGACUUUUUGAGAGGACUCCCUCUUCUAAUCUACAUAAGAGUUCUUUACUUUCACAACCCCGUGGCAUGCGGACCAACGAUCAACAUCGGCCAAGCUAUCGACGGUAUUGCGAAUGAAGCCUUCGUUUUGUUAUACACGGAACCGUUCACGGUGUUCAGGACUUUCAUUAUAAACUGCGUCAGCCUCGGCUUGAGUGUGUUUUGGAUGACCAGCAGUAUCAUUAUCAUAAUGGCUGGAGCCAGAGAUAACCAGACAAAAUGUACUCGUUGGCCCUGGAUCAUAUUCACUACUGCCGUGUCUGGCCUCGACGUGGUAGCGACCGUCACAUACGCCAACGAUACAUUUCACACAAGGACUUUGCAAGAAAUGAUGGAUUUCAUCGGCGGCAGAGUGAGUGGAAUCGGGAAUGCUCAGCUGAACACCGCGUGGACUGCUUGGUCCAUGGUCAUCCUCUACUCGCGAUUCGUCAUACUCUUUAUCAUUAACAUAAUUCUUAUUGUCAUCGUCAUUGUGGAUUGCAAUGUGGAAAGAAAACCAGAAACUGAUAUUGUUACUGUAGAAGCUCCAGUUCCAGUACAAAUCGAAGCGGCACCUCAAGCACCAGUUGCGCCUCAAGUUCCCGUCCAGGUAUCUACUGCAGUUCAAGCGUCUCCUCCGCCUCCCAUGGUUACCGAGAGGGAUGCUAUCAGUGACAGAGAUGAAGAAUUGGCAAGCUUACCCAGCGAAAGAAUCACCACCAGAAUACCACGCGCUGGUCUCAGCCGCUCCUUUCGUCGGAUGAAGGCGUUCCUCUUCAGAAAGACACCUUCCCCUGAAAUCCAUAACAGAUCGAAUCCAGAUUCUUUCCAAAUAUCACCCGAAAGGUCACCCCACACACACCACGUUCACCAGCAAGUGGACAUAGACCUAGACAAGAAGCGGACCGUAAAUUUCCCGGAGAGUCUACUGUCAUUGCCGCAGCGUUUAGAGAAUAUAAUAGCUGAGCAGCAGCGACGCUUAGACCGUGCCACUAUAGACACCUCUGGAAGAAACAGUCCACCACGAGCUUCGCAGUCCAUGCCUCAUCUUGCUACCACUUCCAGCCAACCAGAAGGGCGAGGUCUCAAUGAGUCUUCUGUCUCGGUACGAGACUUCUUUGACGGCGUGGAACAACGGCCGAGCUCCAGGGCCAGCUUCCCUGGGCGUAUAUACCAGCGUCCUCGCACCGCAUGCGGGACCAACUCCCUCCGGACGAGGAUCUACCACCGGUCCCCCUCCCAGACUACAAUGCCAUGCAGCCUGCUAGAAAAGCAUCCGUCCAUCGAGCGGCUUCCAGCUUAAGUUCUCUAACACAAAAGAAAAAUUAUGUGACGUCACGGUCUGUGCGUGAGUAUUACACAUACAAGAAGACUUAAUCGCCAGUAAUUCCCCAUCGUUCUCAAACAGCGCUAAAUCAAUCCGACGUUUUGUAUUGAUUUAAAGAUUGUCACCACCAAGUAAUUUCGAGUUAAUACUGAUCAUAUAGCUGAUGUAACAAUCUCAGAUCGUAGACAAAAUCCCUGAGCAACUGAAUAGGGUAGAUGACUAAUUUGUAUUUUAAUGUCCGUCUUGUAGAUAUAUUUUUUAAUAUUAGACACAUAUUUUUUAUUUUCUUAUGUAAACAAAUAUUUUCGAAGAUAUAUUGAUUUGAAAUAUUGCGUGACGUCAUUUCUAAGUACAUUUUAUACGUAGAAAUGACAUAUUCGGUCCCACUCCUAAACUUUGAUCCAUUUUGUUCAUGGAAUACAGAAUCUGAAUUCCGUGGUUUUUUCUAAGUAUUGUUAUCUUAUAUCAGAAAAUAAAAAAUACGUGUCUAAUAUUUUUUUUAUAACCUAACUGACGGACUAAGUAGAUUUCUAAUUUUCAUACACCGUCAUCCCUAUGUUUAUGUGUCACGAACUCAUGAGUGAUCGUUGUGAAUGAUACGUGUUAUUGUAAUAUUUAUAAAAUGUUCUAAUUAUUUAUGACGGUAAUUGAUUGUUUGUGAAUGUACUGUUAGCAAUUAACAAGAACACAUCGAUUUUUUAAAGAUUUAUAUCGAUUUUUAGAAGGAUACGAGAGUUACUAGUUUAUAACUUUUUGUAAAUAUUUAGACGUAAGUUCUUAUUCUAUAAUUAAUCAAAAUAAUUUAUGUAAUAAAAAAUACAUUGAGAAAAAAAUAAUAACUGAUAUUGAAUGUAAUGCAAUAUCAGAUUAUUAUGCACCUGCGUAGUAUUAUGUUAAUAAGUGUAACAGCCAAAGUAAUCUGUUGCAUCAUUUAUACUGUCCAGUGAAGAUUAGUAAUUUUUAUUUAUACACCUAAUUUUUGGGUGAUCGUGUUGGCGUAUCUUACAGGAAUUUAUCACAAUAAUUCGUCAUUUUGCAUAAUAUGCAAUGACGAGAGCGAAAAUCAUUGUCUUUCGUUUAAAACAUUUAUUUAUUCCCAAAUUAUUAUUAUGGGCUGUCUAAUCAAUGUGAUAGUUAAAUUAAUACCUUAUCACCAAUGUAAAGACUGGACAGGAACCAAUUCUGUCUUCUGUGGUUAUUGUGUAAAUGUGUAAUAGAUAUAACUGGCUGUAACAUAAUAUGGACAUUGUAGUCGUAUUUACAACUUUCUUAUCUCAAGAUUACUUGAGAUUAGUUUAAAGUUCUUAUAAAACUACGAUUAACUUAUAAGUGUACUUAUAACAUUACGUCUUAGGUUACAAAUUGCACUAACAAGUGUAUGACAUCUUGAAUUUUAUAUAACUUAUGAUUUAUAUAGCAAUAAAUUUUGCAUAAAACUCUUGUUA